UACGUAGGUGGCGAGCGUUGUCCGGAAUUACUGGGUGUAAAGGGCGUGUAGGCGGGAAAAUAAGUCAGAUGUGAAAUUCCGGGGCUCAACCCCGGCACUGCAUCUGAAACUAUUUUUCUUGAGUGCUGGAGAGGAAAGCGGAAUUCCUAGUGUAGCGGUGAAAUGCGUAGAUAUUAGGAGGAACACCAGUGGCGAAGGCGGCUUUCUGGACAGUAACUGACGCUGAGGCGCGAAAGCGUGGGGAG
rnacentral:rRNA from 1 species